rnacentral:tRNA from 1 species
GCCGAAUUGCUGGAACUGGUAGACGGGGAGGACUCAAAAUCCUUUGCUAGAAAUAGCGUGUGGGUUCGAUUCCCACAUUCGGCACCA